CUUCUCCCUCUGGAGUCUGGGAGAGUAUGUGUGUGUUAGAGAUAGUUUAACUUUGAUCUGAGAUAAACUAUAGGGAAAACAGAAAGAAGCUUGUGAGGUAAGCAGUACAUUUUACAGAUGAAGAUGAGAUUCAGGAAUAAAGUGAUUUAUCCAUGUCAUACAAAUACUAAAUGUGAAAACAAGAAUUCAAAACCAAAUCUUCUGAAGCUAAAUAUGGAACUCUUUCCCCUACCAAAGUGAACAUGGAUGAGUUGACUUUUGCAUUGGUGGAUGGAGCAACUACACUUAGGAACCAAUUGCUCCUUGAAAUACUGCCACUUUUUUGAAAAGCCAGCAAUUUAUAAAUAAACAAAACUCAGUUUUUAAA